rnacentral:rRNA from 1 species
AGGAGUCGAUGAAGGACGGGACUAACGCCGAUAUGCUUCGGGGAGCUGUAAGUAAGCUUUGAUCCGAAGAUUUCCGAAUGGGGAAACCCACCAUACGUAAUGGUAUGGUAUCCUUAUCUGAAUACAUAGGGUAAGGAAGACAGACCCAGGGAACUGAAACAUCUAAGUACCUGGAGGAAGAGAAAGCAAAUGCGAUUUCCUGAGUAGCGGCGAGCGAAACGGAACAUAGCCCAAACCAAGAGGCUUGCCUCUUGGGGUUGUAGGACAUUCUAUACGGAGUUACAAAGGAACGAGGUAGACGAAGCGACCUGGAAAGGUCCGUCGUAGAGGGUAACAACCCCGUAGUCGAAACUUCGUUCUCUCUUGAAUGUAUCCUGAGUACGGCGGAACACGUGAAAUUCCGUCGGAAUCUGGGAGGACCAUCUCCCAAGGCUAAAUACUCCCUAGUGAUCGAUAGUGAACCAGUACCGUGAGGGAAAGGUGAAAAGCACCCCGGAAGGGGAGUGAAAGAGAUCCUGAAACCGUGUGCCUACAAAUAGUCAGAGCCCGUUAACGGGUGAUGGCGUGCCUUUUGUAGAAUGAACCGGCGAGUUACGAUCCCGUGCGAGGUUAAGCUGAAGAGGCGGAGCCGCAGCGAAAGCGAGUCUGAAUAGGGCGUUUAGUACGUGGUCGUAGACCCGAAACCAGGUGAUCUACCCAUGUCCAGGGUGAAGUUCAGGUAACACUGAAUGGAGGCCCGAACCCACGCACGUUGAAAAGUGCGGGGAUGAGGUGUGGGUAGCGGAGAAAUUCCAAUCGAACCUGGAGAUAGCUGGUUCUCCCCGAAAUAGCUUUAGGGCUAGCCUUAAGUGUAAGAGUCUUGGAGGUAGAGCACUGAUUGGACUAGGGGUCCUCAUCGGAUUACCGAAUUCAGUCAAACUCCGAAUGCCAAUGACUUAUCCUUAGGAGUCAGACUGCGAGUGAUAAGAUCCGUAGUCAAAAGGGAAACAGCCCAGACCGCCAGCUAAGGUCCCAAAGUGUGUAUUAAGUGGAAAAGGAUGUGGAGUUGCUUAGACAACUAGGAUGUUGGCUUAGAAGCAGCCACCAUUUAAAGAGUGCGUAAUAGCUCACUAGUCGAGUGACUCUGCGCCGAAAAUGUACCGGGGCUAAAUACACCACCGAAGCUGCGGAUUGAUACCAAUGGUAUCAGUGGUAGGGGAGCGUUCUAAGGACAGUGAAGUCAGACCGGAAGGACUGGUGGAGUGCUUAGAAGUGAGAAUGCCGGUAUGAGUAGCGAAAGACGGGUGAGAAUCCCGUCCACCGAAUGCCUAAGGUUUCCUGAGGAAGGCUCGUCCGCUCAGGGUUAGUCAGGACCUAAGCCGAGGCCGACAGGCGUAGGCGAUGGACAACAGGUUGAUAUUCCUGUACCACCUCUUUAUCGUUUGAGCAAUGGAGGGACGCAGAAGGAUAGAAGAAGCGUGCGAUUGGUUGUGCACGUCCAAGCAGUUAGGCUGAUAAGUAGGCAAAUCCGCUUAUCGUGAAGGCUGAGCUGUGAUGGGGAAGCUCCUUAUGGAGCGAAGUCUUUGAUUCCCCGCUGCCAAGAAAAGCUUCUAGCGAGAUAAAAGGUGCCUGUACCGCAAACCGACACAGGUAGGCGAGGAGAGAAUCCUAAGGUGUGCGAGAGAACUCUGGUUAAGGAACUCGGCAAAAUGACCCCGUAACUUCGGGAGAAGGGGUGCUUUCUUAACGGAAAGCCGCAGUGAAUAGGCCCAAGCGACUGUUUAGCAAAAACACAGCUCUCUGCGAAGCCGUAAGGCGAAGUAUAGGGGGUGACACCUGCCCGGUGCUGGAAGGUUAAGGAGAGGGGUUAGCGUAAGCGAAGCUCUGAACUGAAGCCCCAGUAAACGGCGGCCGUAACUAUAACGGUCCUAAGGUAGCGAAAUUCCUUGUCGGGUAAGUUCCGACCCGCACGAAAGGUGUAACGAUUUGGGCACUGUCUCAACCAGAGACUCGGUGAAAUUAUAGUACCUGUGAAGAUGCAGGUUACCCGCGACAGGACGGAAAGACCCCGUGGAGCUUUACUGUAGCCUGAUAUUGAAUUUUGGUACAGUUUGUACAGGAUAGGCGGGAGCCUUUGAAACCGGAGCGCUAGCUUCGGUGGAGGCGCUGGUGGGAUACCGCCCUGACUGUAUUGAAAUUCUAACCUACGGGUCUUAUCGACCCGGGAGACAGUGUCAGGUGGGCAGUUUGACUGGGGCGGUCGCCUCCUAAAGUGUAACGGAGGCGCCCAAAGGUUCCCUCAGAAUGGUUGGAAAUCAUUCGUAGAGUGCAAAGGCAUAAGGGAGCUUGACUGCGAGACCUACAAGUCGAGCAGGGACGAAAGUCGGGCUUAGUGAUCCGGUGGUUCCGCAUGGAAGGGCCAUCGCUCAACGGAUAAAAGCUACCCCGGGGAUAACAGGCUUAUCUCCCCCAAGAGUCCACAUCGACGGGGAGGUUUGGCACCUCGAUGUCGGCUCAUCGCAUCCUGGGGCUGUAGUCGGUCCCAAGGGUUGGGCUGUUCGCCCAUUAAAGCGGUACGCGAGCUGGGUUCAGAACGUCGUGAGACAGUUCGGUCCCUAUCCGUCGUGGGCGUAGGAAAUUUGAGAGGAGCUGUCCUUAGUACGAGAGGACCGGGAUGGACGCACCGCUGGUGUACCAGUUGUUCUGCCAAGGGCAUAGCUGGGUAGCUAUGUGCGGAAGGGAUAAGUGCUGAAAGCAUCUAAGCAUGAAGCCCCCCUCAAGAUGAGAUUUCCCAUAGCGUAAGCUAGUAAGAUCCCUGAAAGAUGAUCAGGUUGAUAGGUUCGAGGUGGAAGCAUGGUGACAUGUGGAGCUGACGAAUACUAAUAGAUCGAGGACUUAACCAUAUAA